rfam:Shewanella loihica PV-4, complete genome.
GGGCAUGUUGGGAGCCGUAACCUAUGGGCGGUAGCGUG